rnacentral:lncRNA from 1 species
AUGAAACAGCGCUCUUUUUUGAGUUUGUCAUCAAGUGUCCUCUAUGGUGCCAAUAUUGAUUUCCACAACCCCUUGAAAGCCAAGAGUGUCACGGCCAUGAUGGUCCCUGCAGCCACUGACUCGGAAAGCAGGAGAGCUAAGGUUGCUAUUGCCAGACAUUGGUUUCCCACAUGUUUCUGCCAAAUAUUAAGACUGUACAACUGAUGAUCUCAAUCAAAUUCAGAAACAGCGUCAGCUUAACUGAGAACCUGCGUACAUGUCUUAGG